GGCCGGUUAGCUCAGUUGGUUGAGCAUGGUGUUGAUAACACCAAGGUCAUGAGUUCGAUCCCCUUUCGGUCC
rnacentral:tRNA from 1 species